rnacentral:rRNA from 1 species
GGUGAAAUGACGGAUCGUCGGCCCCCGCGCCGGCGACUCGCCGAAUGAGUUUCUGACCUAUCAACUCGAGACGGCGGGGUAGAGGCCCGCCGCGGUAACGACGGGUAACGGGGAAUCAGGGGUUCGAUUCCGGAGAGGGAGCCCGAGAAACGGCUACCACUUCCAAGGAAGGCAGCAGGCGCGCAACUUACCCUAAUCUCGAUUCGAGGAGGUAGUGACAAGAAAUACCGAUGCGGGACCCUACGGGUGCCGCGUUCGGAAUGAGUACGAUUCGAACCACCUAACGAGGAACGAUCGGAGGGCAAGUCUGGUGCCAGCAGCCGCGGUAAUUCCAGCUCCAAUAGCGUACGUUAAAGUUGCUGCAGUUAAAAAGCUCGUAGUUGAACGUUCGGGUUCCGCGGGACGGGGCCGCCCCGCGAGGACGGCGCCGCCCGGGC